AAUUUAUGACCUGGAUACCUCUUUAAUAGUAACUUGAACCUUUCCCAUGCAUCAUAAAGUACUUCACCAUCUUGUUGCUUGAAUCUGGAAAUCUCCUUCUUCAGCAC
rfam:Medicago truncatula strain A17 unplaced genomic scaffold scaffold0503, whole genome shotgun sequence.